rnacentral:lncRNA from 1 species
CCCACACAGAUGGGAUUUGGGCAUAGGUUUGGUUUCCCAGGGGGCAGUGCUGAGCUCUUUGCCAGUGGGAAAUGGGAUGCUGGUGAUUUCCAGUAGGUGACCUCACAGUGACUCAAGCUACCACUUACUGUUGAUUGUGACGAAAUGCCAGCUGAGGCACAUGCCUUGGGAGCUAAGUGGUUGCUGCCCUUGACCACUGUGAAGACUGGUGUGGGAAGGGUCGUUUUGGAUGCACUUGAGCAGGGGUCCCCAACCCCUGAGCCAUGGAGCCGCAAGGAGCCACACAGCAGGAGGUGGGAACAUCCAGUUGCGGGAAAACAAGCUUAACACGCCCACUGAUUCUACAUUAUGGGUCUCCCUCUGUUGUCCAAGGCUGGAGUGUAGUAGUGCUAUCGCAGCUGACUGCAGCCUCAACCUUCCAGGCUGAAGCGAUCCUCCCACCUCAACCUCCCACGUGGCUGAGACUACAGGUGCUUGCCACUAUGCCCAACUAACAUUUGGAAUUUUCGUAUACGUGGAUUCCAGAGGGGUGACAGCGAAACGUGGGACCAUCCAGUUGCAGGAAAACAAGCUUAACACGCCCACUAAUUCUACAUUAUGCUCCUACCUCCCGGCAGCCUCUCCAGGCCCAGAACUUUCUCCAGUCAGCCUCUACAGACCAAGCUCAUGACUCACAAUGGCCUAUUUAGGCCCAUACCCUACGUCACGGCAGCCUCCGCAGAUGAGGC